AAAGGGAGACCUAAUUCCGGUAGGAGACGAAAAAAAAGUAGUCCCAACCAAGAAUCAAUCCCAAAAGGUCGGAGCGAGGCGAAAUUGGCUUUCAAACUAGGUUCUGGGUUCACACAAGACCUGAAUCAGGAACAAGGGCUAUUAGCUCAGGUGGUUAGAGCGCACCCCUGAUAAGGGUGAGGUCCCUGGUUCGAGUCCAGGAUGGCCCACCUGCACAGGUGGCAAAAACAAGAGAAGCGAGGAAUCAGCACCUUAUCUUGUAUACAUAUAUAAGAGAGAAUGCUGGCUCUGAGUACAGAGUCCAGAGGAACCUUGAAAACUGCAUAGAGCUAGGUGAAAAAGCCAAAAAAGAAGACCGCAAG
rnacentral:tRNA from 1 species